AUCACGGAAAUACCGGUUCACGUAUAAUCACUGAAGUGAAGGAUCGUCAAGCCUGGUUAGUACCGAGGUAGGUGACUGCUAGGGAAUACCAGAUGCUGUAA